AAUGAACGCUGGCGGCGUGCUUAACACAUGCAAGUCGCACGAGAACGCUUCUGCUUGCAGGGGCUAGUAAAGUGGCGCACGGGUGAGUAACGCGUGGGUAACCUGCCCUUGGGUUCGGGAUAACGUUUCGAAAGGGGCGCUAAUACCGGAUAAGACCACGGGGGCCUUGGCCCUUGGGGUAAAAGAUGGCCUCUGCGAGCAAGCUAUCGCCUGAAGAUGGGCCCGCGUACUAUUAGCUAGUUGGUGAGGUAACGGCUCACCAAGGCUACGAUGGUUAGCUGGUCUGAGAGGAUGAUCAGCCACACUGGAACUGACACACGGUCCAGACUCCUACGGGAGGCAGCAGUGAGGAAUAUUGCGCAAUGGGGGAAACCCUGACGCAGCAACGCCGCGUGAGUGAUGAAGGCCUUUGGGUCGUAAAGCUCUGUCUGGUGGGAAGAACCAGGACUGUUCGAAUAGGGCAGUCCCCUGACCGUACCACCAAAGAAAGCACCGGCUAACUCCGUGCCAGCAGCCGCGGUAAUACGGAGGGUGCAAGCGUUAUUCGGAUUUAUUGGGCGUAAAGGGCGCGUAGGCGGCCGCUUAAGUCAGAUGUGAAAGCCCGGGGCUUAACCCCGGAAGUGCGUUUGAUACUGGGUGGCUUGAGUAUGGGAGAGGGAAGUGGAAUUCCUGGUGUAGAGGUGAAAUUCGUAGAUAUCAGGAGGAACAUCGGUGGCGAAGACGACUUCCUGGACCAAUACUGACGCUGAGGCGCGAAGGCGUGGGUAGCAAACA
rnacentral:rRNA from 1 species